rnacentral:rRNA from 1 species
AUUAUUGCUAUUAGAUGAGCCUAUAUUAGAUUAGCUAGUUGGUGGAGUAAUAGCCUACCAAGGCAAUGAUCUAUAGCUGAUCUGAGAGGAUGAUCAGCCACACUGGAACUGAGAUACGGUCCAGACUCCUACGGGAGGCAGCAGUGGGGAAUAUUGGACAAUGGGCGAAAGCCUGAUCCAGCCAUGCCGCAUGAGUGAAGAAGGCCUUUGGGUUGUAAAGCUCUUUUAGUGAGGAAGAUAAUGACGGUACUCACAGAAGAAGUCCUGGCUAACUCCGUGCCAGCAGCCGCGGUAAUACGGAGAGGGCUAGCGUUAUUCGGAAUUACUGGGCGUAAAGGGCGCGUAGGCUGAUUAAUAAGUUAAAAGUGAAAUCCCGAGGCUUAACCUUGGAAUUGCUUUUAAAACUAUUAAUCUAGAGAUUGAAAGAGGAUAGAGGAAUUCCUGAUGUAGAGGUAAAAUUCGUAAAUAUUAGGAGGAACACCAGUGGCGAAGGCGUCUAUCUGGUUCAAAUCUGACGCUGAAGCGCGAAGGCGUGGGGAGCAAACAGGAUUAGAUACCCUGGUAGUCCACGCUGUAAACGAUGAAUGUUAAAUAUGGGAAGUUUAC